CCCUGUAUCUUCCAUGCAACAUUCCAUGUGUCCAACAUAUUGUAUCCAUGUUUCUCUAUAAAUAUCACCAAUCAACUCAUCUAUCACCAACAAAUCAACCAUCAUCUCUCUUGACACAAAGAUGACUAACUCAGGGUGACUCAAUUCAUGCAACUGUUAGGAAAAAUUUGAUCUCCCAAUUUAAGGAUCAACUUGAAGAAGGAUGUGCUUAUGUUUUUGAAAAAUUUAUGGUUGCUUGAAACCAAUGACAAGAGAAAAAAGAAUCUUCCCUAUUUUUUGAACAUAUUGGAUUAGCAUGAAAUCAAUGAAAAGAGAGUCAUGCAUACUUUCCAAGAUGGAAACCUAUGAGUUUGAGUUUCAUAGUGCAAGUGUUUGGUUUGUCAUUUUUUUUUAGCUUCUUUUGAUGAACAUGAAAUAUAUGAGUGGUUUGUAAAAAAUUGA